CCUACGGGUGGCAGCAGUGAGGAAUAUUGGUCAAUGGACGAGAGUCUGAACCAGCCAAGUAGCGUGAAGGAUGACUGCCCUAUGGGUUGUAAACUUCUUUUAUAUGGGAAUAAAAUGUUCCACGUGUGGGAUUUUGUAUGUACCAUAUGAAUAAGGAUCGGCUAACUCCGUGCCAGCAGCCGCGGUAAUACGGAGGAUCCGAGCGUUAUCCGGAUUUAUUGGGUUUAAAGGGAGCGUAGGUGGAUUGUUAAGUCAGUUGUGAAAGUUUGCGGCUCAACCGUAAAAGUGCAGUUGAAACUGGCAGUCUUGAGUACAGUAGAGGUGUGCGGAAUUCGUGGUGUAGCGGUGAAAUGCUUAGAUAUCACGAAGAACUCCGAUUGCGAAGGCAGUUCACUGGACUGCAACUGACACUGAGGCUCGAAAGUGUGGGUAUCAAACAGGAUUAGAUACCCGAGUAGUC
rnacentral:rRNA from 1 species